rnacentral:rRNA from 1 species
AGUCGAACGCAGUAGCAAUACUGAGUGGCAGACGGGUGAGUAACAUGUGGGAAUCUGCCUUGUGGUUCAGGACAACAUUGGGAAACCGAUGCUAAUACUGGAUAAGCCCUUACGGGGAAAGUUUUAAUGCCAUAAGAUGAGCCCGCAUUUGAUUAGUUAGUUGGUGAGGUAAUGGCUCACCAAGACAAUGAUCAAUAGCUGAUCUGAGAGGAUGAUCAGCCACACUGGGACUGAGACACGGCCCAGACUCCUACGGGAGGCAGCAGUGGGGAAUCUUGCACAAUGGAGGAAACUCUGAUGCAGCGAUGCCGCGUGAGUGAAGAAGGCCUUUGGGUUGUAAAGCUCUUUUGUAGGGGAAGAUAAUGACUGUACCCUAAGAAUAAGGUCCGGCUAACUUCGUGCCAGCAGCCGCGGUAAUACGAAGGGACCUAGCGUAGUUCGGAAUUACUGGGCGUAAAGCGCGCGUAGGCCGUUGAGUUAGUUAAUUGUGAAAUCCCAAAGCUUAACUUUGGAACUGCAAUUAAAACUGCUCGACUAGAGUUUGAUAGAGGAAAGCGGAAUACAUAGUGUAGAGGUGAAAUUCGUAGAUAUUAUGUAGAACACCAGUUGCGAAGGCGGCUUUCUGGAUCAACACUGACGCUGAGGCGCGAAAGUAUGGGUAGCAAAGAGGAUUAGAUACCCUCGUAGUCCAUACCAUAAACGAUGAUUGCUAGAUGUUGGAAAUUUAUUUUCAGUAUCGCAGCUAACGCAUUAAGCAAUCCGCCUGGGGAGUACGACCGCAAGGUUAAAACUCAAAUGAAUUGACGGGGACCCGCACAAGCGGUGGAGCAUGUGGUUUAAUUCGAAGAUACGCGCAGAACCUUACCAACCCUUGACAUGUCUGUCGCGAGUUUAGGAAAC